UCGGAAUGACUGGGCGUAAAGGGCGCGUAGGCGGGCGGCACAGUCGGGCGUGAAAUUCCUGGGCUUAACCUGGGGGCUGCGUCCGAGACGUGUUGCCUAGAGUGGGGAAGAGGGUCGUGGAAUUCCCAGUGUAGAGGUGAAAUUCGUAGAUAUUGGGAAGAACACCGGUGGCGAAGGCGGCGACCUGGUCCUUUUACUGACGCUGAGGCGCGAAAGCGUGGGGAGCAAACAGGAUUAGAUCCCCUGGUAGUCCACACCGUAAACGAUGAGAGCUAGUUGUCUGCAGGCAUGCCUGUAGGUGACGCAGCUAACGCAUUAAGCUCUCCGCCUGGGGAGUACGGCCGCAAGGUUAAAACUCAAAUGAAUUGACGGGGGCCCGCACAAGC
rnacentral:rRNA from 1 species